CUCCUACGGGAGGCAGCAGUGGGGAAUAUUGGACAAUGGGGGAAACCCUGAUGCAGCGACGCCGCGUGGGUGAAGAAGUAUUUCGGUAUGUAAAGCUCUAUCAGCAGGGAAGAAAAUGACGGUACCUGACUAAGAAGCACCGGCUAAAUACGUGCCAGCAGCCGCGGUAAUAACGUAUGGUGCAAGCGUUAUCCGGAUUUAC
rnacentral:rRNA from 1 species